rnacentral:rRNA from 1 species
CACAGAGGGUGCAAGCGUUGUUCGGAAUUAUUGGGCGUAAAGCGCGUGUAGGCGGCUUUGCAAGUCGGGUGUGAAAGCCCUCAGCUCAACUGAGGAAGUGCGCCCGAAACUGCAGAGCUUGAGUACCGGAGAGGAUGGCGGAAUUCCCCAAGUAGAGGUGAAAUUCGUAGAUAUGGGGAGGAACACCGGUGGCGAAGGCGGCCAUCUGGACGGUCACUGACGCUGAGACGCGAAAGCGUGGGGAGCAAACAGG